GUGUACAAGACCCGGGAACGUAUUCACCGCGACAUGCUGAUUCGCGAUUACUAGCGAUUCCAGCUUCAUGUAGUCGAGUUGCAGACUACAAUCCGAACUGAGACGUUAUUUUUGGGAUUUGCUCCGGAUCAUUUCUUCGCUUCCCUUUGUUUACGCCAUUGUAGCACGUGUGUAGCCCAGAUCAUAAGGGGCAUGAUGAUUUGACGUCAUCCCCACCUUCCUCCAGGUUAUCCCUGGCAGUCUCCCAAGAGUGCCCGGCUGAACCGCUGGCUACUUAGNAUAAGGGUUGCGCUCGUUGCGGGACUUAACCCAACAUGUGACGACGCGAGCUGACGACAACCAUGCACCACCUGUCUGGAGUGUCCCGAAGGAAUGGGAACGUUACUUGCCUGUCACUCCGAUGUCA
rnacentral:rRNA from 1 species